CUGUCAUAUUAUAUAUUUCAGGUCGGCUAUAUUGCGAGUCACAACACAGAACCCCAGGUUAAUAGUUGUUUAUAUUUUAGCCCGCAUAGCAUUGGGCCGUGCGCGCCGGCUCUUGGGGGUUACUAUUAAAAAUAGAAGGAAGGCGACAGCGGCCCAAAAUAGGUCAGACCGUAAACUCUGAAAACUGAAAAGAACGAUGCUUUAAUCAAAGAGCUUAAAUUCGCUUCAAAAUACGCGAAGGAACGAC